GGAAUAUUGGGCAAUGGAUGCAAGUCUGACCCAGCCAUGCCGCGUGCCGGAUGAAGGCCCUCAGGGUUGUAAACGGCUUUUAUUCGGGAAGAAGAGCAGGGAUGCGUCCUUGUGUGACGGUACCGAAUGAAUAAGCACCGGCUAACUCCGUGCCAGCAGCCGCGGUAAUACGGAGGGUGCGAGCGUUGUCCGGAUUUAUUGGGUUUAAAGGGUGCGUAGGUGGCUUUAUAAGUCAGUGGUGAAAUACAGCCGCUCAACGGUUGAGGUGCCAUUGAUACUGUAGAGCUUGAAACAAGUGGAGGUUGCCGGAAUGGAUGGUGUAGCGGUGAAAUGCAUAGAUAUCAUCCAGAACACCGAUUGCGAAGGCAGGUGACUACGUUUGAUUUGACACUGAGGCACGAAAGCAUGGGGAGCAAACAGGAUUAGAUACCCUUG
rnacentral:rRNA from 1 species